rnacentral:rRNA from 1 species
UACGUAGGUGGCUAGCGUUGUCCGGAUUUACUGGGCGUAAAGCGCGCGCAGGCGGUCGUUCAAGUCGAGUGUGAAAGCCCCCGGCUCAACUGGGGAGGGUCACUCGAUACUGAUCGACUUGAAGGCAGAAGAGGGAAGCGGAAUUCCCGGUGUAGUGGUGAAAUGCGUAGAUAUCGGGAGGAACACCGGUGGCGAAGGCGGCUUUCUGGUCUGUUCUUGACGCUGAGGCGCGAAAGCUAGGGUAGCAAACGGG